rnacentral:rRNA from 1 species
UACGUAGGUGGCAAGCGUUGUCCGGAAUUAUUGGGCGUAAAGCGCGCGCAGGCGGUCCUUUAAGUCUGAUGUGAAAGCCCACGGCUCAACCGUGGAGGGUCAUUGGAAACUGGGGGACUUGAGUACAGAAGAGGAAAGCGGAAUUCCACGUGUAGCGGUGAAAUGCGUAGAGAUGUGGAGGAACACCAGUGGCGAAGGCGGCUUUCUGGUCUGUAACUGACGCUUAGGCGCGAAAGCGUGGGGAGCAAACAGG